rnacentral:rRNA from 1 species
AAUAUUGCACAUUGGGUGCAAGCCUGAUGCAGCGACGCCGCGUGAGCGAAGAAGGUCUUCGGAUCGUAAAGCUCUGUCCACAGGGAAGAAAAAAAUGACGGUACCAGAGGAGGAAGCGCCGGCUAGCUACUUGCCAGCCUCCACGGUAAUAAGUAGGGGGCUAGCGUUGUACGGAUUUACUGGGCGUAAAGGGUCAUUAGGCGGUAACGUGUGUCAGAUGUUUAAUCUAUGGGCUCAACCCAUAUCAGCAUUUGAAACUACGUAACUUGAGUGCAGGAGAGGUAAGUGGAAGUCCUAGUUUAGCGGUGGAAUGCGUAGAUAUUAGGAGGAACACGAGUGGCGAAGGCGACUUACUGGACUGCAACUGACGCUGAGUCACGAAAGCGUGGGGAGCAAACAGG